rnacentral:rRNA from 1 species
UCGAGCGGUAACAUUUCUAGCUUGCUAGAAGAUGACGAGCGGCGGACGGGUGAGUAAUACUUAGGAAUCUACCUAGUAGUGGGGGAUAGCACGGGGAAACUCGUAUUAAUACCGCAUACGACCUACGGGAGAAAGGGGGCAGUUUACUGCUCUCGCUAUUAGAUGAGCCUAAGUCGGAUUAGCUAGAUGGUGGGGUAAAGGCCUACCAUGGCGACGAUCUGUAGCUGGUCUGAGAGGAUGAUCAGCCACACCGGGACUGAGACACGGCCCGGACUCCUACGGGAGGCAGCAGUGGGGAAUAUUGGACAAUGGGGGAAACCCUGAUCCAGCCAUGCCGCGUGUGUGAAGAAGGCCUUUUGGUUGUAAAGCACUUUAAGCAGUGAAGAAGACUCCUCGGUUAAUACCCGUGGACGAUGACAUUAGCUGCAGAAUAAGCACCGGCUAACUCUGUGCCAGCAGCCGCGGUAAUACAGAGGGUGCAAGCGUUAAUCGGAAUUACUGGGCGUAAAGGGAGCGUAGGUGGCUCGAUAAGUCAGAUGUGAAAUCCCCGGGCUCAACCUGGGAACUGCAUCUGAUACUGUUGAGCUAGAGUAUGUGAGAGGAAGGUAGAAUUCCAGGUGUAGCGGUGAAAUGCGUAGAGAUCUGGAGGAAUACCGAUGGCGAAGGCAGCCUUCUGGCAUAAUACUGACACUGAGGCUCGAAAGCGUGGGUAGCAAACAGGAUUAGAUACCCUGGUAGUCCACGCCGUAAACGAUGUCUACUAGUCGUUGGGUCCCUUGAGGACUUAGUGACGCAGCUAACGCAAUAAGUAGACCGCCUGGGGAGUACGGCCGCAAGGUUAAAACUCAAAUGAAUUGACGGGGGCCCGCACAAGCGGUGGAGCAUGUGGUUUAAUUCGAUGCAACGCGAAGAACCUUACCUGGUCUUGACAUAUCUAGAAUCCUGCAGAGAUGCGGGAGUGCCUUCGGGAAUUAGAAUACAGGUGCUGCAUGGCUGUCGUCAGCUCGUGUCGUGAGAUGUUGGGUUAAGUCCCGCAACGAGCGCAACCCUUGUCCUUAGUUACCAGCGGGUUAAGCCGGGAACUCUAAGGAUACUGCCAGUGACAAACUGGAGGAAGGCGGGGACGACGUCAAGUCAUCAUGGCCCUUACGACCAGGGCUACACACGUGCUACAAUGGUAGGUACAGAGGGCAGCUACACAGCGAUGUGAUGCGAAUCUCAAAAAGCCUAUCGUAGUCCAGAUUGGAGUCUGCAACUCGACUCCAUGAAGUAGGAAUCGCUAGUAAUCGCGGAUCAGAAUGCCGCGGUGAAUACGUUCCCGGGCCUUGUACACACCGCCCGUCACACCAUGGGAGUUGAUUGCACCAGAAGUGGAUAGCUUAAC